AAAUCUCAACAUUGUGGACAGCUUAGCUAGCUACAACUGCCAGCCGCUACUUAUAAUGUAGAGGUACUUAGCAAUGAUGCAUGGAUAAACUCCGUCAAAGUUUAUUUUAUUAAAAUUCCACUAACCCCAAAUAUAAUAUUUGGUAUGUGUAAUAUUUGUCAUUCUAAGAAGAAACGUACUGUAAUAUAUAUUUAUAGUAAAAAAACUAUCGUCCAAUCCCAUCAUCGAAAUUGAGCUGUGACUCUUUAUUUACAAUGCCACGGCCUUUGCUUGUUAGUUAUCUACAUGAAAAUUUGGCCGUAGAAUUGAACAUAAGAAACACUUAAGCGAAUAUUUUUGCUGACAAGGAAUGAAAACAAUGCUUAAAAGAGUGAGAAUAAAACUGUUUAAACAUAGGGAGAUGAGGCUGAAUUUUGGAAUGGGAAAUUGUUGUUAACUCCUCGACGGAAUGAGGAAUUUAUUUUUAAUGUGACUUGGAAUACCGAAUUUUCAGUUUAA